AUUGAACGCUGGCGGAAUGCUUUACACAUGCAAGUCGAACGGCAGCACGGGUGCUUGCACCUGGUGGCGAGUGGCGAACGGGUGAGUAAUACAUCGGAACGUACCCUGACGUGGGGGAUAACACAGCGAAAGUUGUGCUAAUACCGCAUACGUCCUGAGGGAGAAAGCGGGGGAUCGCAAGACCUCGCGCGUUAGGAGCGGCCGAUGGCGGAUUAGCUAGUUGGUGGGGUAAAGGCUCACCAAGGCGACGAUCCGUAGAUGGUCUGAGAGGACGACCAGCCACACUGGAACUGAGACACGGUCCAGACUCCUACGGGAGGCAGCAGUGGGGAAUUUUGGACAAUGGGCGAAAGCCUGAUCCAGCCAUUCCGCGUGAGUGAAGAAGGCCUUCGGGUUGUAAAGCUCUUUCGGCAGGAACGAAACGGUGUGGGCCAAUACCCUGCAUCAAUGACGGUACCUGAAGAAGAAGCACCGGCUAACUACGUGCCAGCCGCCGCAGUAA
rnacentral:rRNA from 1 species